GACCCCAUCCAGCUUGUGUUCAGACUGAUCUACCACCUGGUGGUGUUCUGUCCAUACUGCAUCUCCACUGUCCUCCUGGUGUCUUUAUAUCGACACAGGCCCACAGAAAAUUACCUGCCCGUCUCCAUGGUGAUGACCCCGCCCCCUCAGGCUGAGGAGGGAUUGGAUGAUGACUGUGAUGAUGUCAUCACUGCUGUCACCACAGAGCAUCACUUCUGAGUUGAUCCAGUGUGUUCAGUGUGUUCUGGUUCUUAAUGAAGCUAAAAUGUUUGUGUCAUCAGAAAAUAAACCUCAGAUUUCCUUCAUAGAUCACAAACAGCAGAGGACCCAGAACACUUCCCUGUGGAACUCCUCAUGUUCUAGUUUGACUUGUAGAUGAUGUUGAACUCAGGAUCUCAGACUUCAGCUACAGUCUCACUUUAAACUCUUCUAAUCUUAUUCUGUAAGCAGCUGUGUGAGAGCAGAUAUCAGAAUUAACUCUGUCAGGUUUAGUGAAGCCUGAUCACUCAGAAAAAGACUGACUGAGGUGAACUUGAUUCAUGAUACAGGUGUAAAUUCUUUGUACAAAGCCGUCGACAUGUUUUUGGUCCAAAUGGAAACUGAUAGUUAUUCAGUUUACCAAAUCUCAGAGAACCAACCUAUCAUGUUUAUUGAUGGAGGGGAUACCGGAGCACCCAGAAGAAACCCCUGCAGACACAGGGAGAACAUGUAAACUCUACACAUAAAAGCCAGGACGACCAGGGUUUAAACUUGGAACCUUCUAGCUGUGAGGCCAUAGUGCUCUCCACCGGGCCACAAUGCACCCACGUUAUAGUCAUACAGAGGACGUAUGUUUUCCAUUUGAGAAAAGGUGAAGACGACCUUGAUAGGAUAUCUGGCGUUGGUAA